rfam:Pteropus alecto contig81918, whole genome shotgun sequence.
GUCUACAACCAUGCUACCCUGAACAAGCCCGAUCCCGUUUGAUCUCGGAAGCUAAGCAGGAUCAGGCCUGGUUAGUACUUGGAUGGGAGACCACCUAGGAAAACCAGGUGCUACAGGUG